GCCGGUUCUAUCUAAAGUCGUUAGCCUAACCGCAAGGAGGGCGACGCCUAGGGUAGUGUCGGUAACUGGGGUGAAGUCGUAACAAGGUAGCCGUAGGUGAACCUGCAGAAGGAUCA
rnacentral:rRNA from 1 species